GAGGCAUGAAGACUAAAUGACGUUCCUUUAUACGGCAUAAGAUGGGCCUACCAAGAAAAGCAGGAAUUAGGGGCCAAUCAGCAAACAGUAAGAGCUCUUCUGAUGAACCAGUGAAACAUUUCCAGAACAAUCUUAUCCAUUCAUGCGAAGGACCACCUUCGUCAACAGAAGUUGAUGUAUUCUCCCAAGAAAACCAUGGGGCCAUUUUUGAACCCAUUACAUGAUUCACCCAAUUCUCAUGAAAGAGUGAUCUCAUAUGACCAGCCAAUAAGUG
rnacentral:misc_RNA from 1 species